UCUCCGUUGGUGAACCAGCGGAGGGAUCAUUACCGAAGUUACCUUCAAAACCCACUGUGAACCUUACCUCUUGCCGCGUUGUCUCGGCGGGAGGCGGUGUGCGUCGCGCGCCCUAGCGGGCCGCGCCGCUCCCGUCCCCGCCGGCAGCGCCAAACUCUAAAUGCACAGCGGUCUGUACGUCCUGAUUUACAAAAAAAACAAGUUAAAACUUUCAACAACGGAUCUCUUGGUUCUG
rnacentral:misc_RNA from 1 species